CCACCAAAAACAAAGAUCAUCCCUUGGUAGCUAUUUGACCUGAAAGAGUAGGAGUCUUUGCAUUACAGGUGCCCCUUUGUUCCGAGGAACUAGUGACUGACGGGGCCAGGUCAAUCAAGAGAGCUAAUGACAUGGCUUUUUGUGCACCAGCAUCCCCCUUCAGAGAGCAUAAGAUCCUGCCAAAGUGUGCCAAGUUUGCCACUGACCAAAAUCCUAAGUUGUGCUGGAAUUAUUCUAUGCAACACUGAUCCUUGAACAAAUGCAUUUCUUCUGAAUGAUGUUGAUUACCCUUCUUACAACAAAAUGAUUUCUUUUUUAAUUGCAAAUAGGGCUCCUGGUGUUUUUUACUUUUUUGUAUAUCUCACAGCACAUGAUUUUCCACUUUUUAUUUUAUUUUAUUUUUUGGAAUCAGCUUUUUUUUUUAUCCGACUGAUGACAAAGUUUGUAAUUUCUAAAUAAUAUGUGAUCAGUCCAAGUACAACACCUAUAUUUUGAAAAGCAUCUUAAUUUUUCCCACAAUUUCAUCGAAUCGUCAGAGACUGGAGUUGCUUCUUGGUUUAAAAUUGGGUCCUAAGGAACUUUUAGCUGUAGAAGCAAAAGCACAGAGUGAAUUUUUACAAAAGACGGGGACUUCUAGGAUGGUCGUUACAGACAUAGAUAACAGUUUGAGCAAGAAGUUGGUGUUUCCCUUAUUUUUACUUAAGAUUAAGAAGACUUUUGGUGACUCUGAACUCUUUCUUUACCAUUUCUGUUGAAAAGAACAGUUUCCAAGAUUAAGGAGCAGGGAUGGUCUUUGCUCCUUAAUGUGCCCAUGUUGUAAUUAACCGUACUAAUAAAUGCAUAUUUUCAACAUAUCAGUGGGAUUAGUUUUGUGGAUCACACACAUUAAAAUAGUCAUAUUGUGGGAAUAUUAUAGCUGGUAACCAGCUGAUACCGAUUCUUUCUAUAGGAAUGUUGUGAUGAUAGCGGUAAUAGUGGUAGUGACACUAGGUCGGUGGUCCUGUGAAGUGAAAUAAAAUUAUAUACUAUAUUGUGCCCAAUUUAUUAGAAAUUAUUUGACCAAUGUUUCAUUUCAUUAAGAUAUCAUAAAGAUGUUUAUAGUAUUUUUUUACUUUAUUAUUUAAAUCAUAACUAACAAUAUUUUUAAAAACUUAUUUUCAUUGCUAUAAUGUCUAAUAUUCCCAAAGCAGCCAACUACAGCUAUAUAUAUAUAUAUGUUUAUAACUCUACAUGUGGCAGAGUGAGUUGCCCUCUUGUUGAGCUUGAGAUGGAAGUGACGGAAAGCUCGAUGAAUAAUCAUGAGCCGUCUCUUUAAUAAUUACUUGCCUUUGAUGUAAUACAAAAAAUGAAUGAGUGAAACAGAUAUUCUCAUUGAAUAUGACACAUUGAUGUUUUCUGUAUGUUCCAUGUUGUUGUUAUUAUUAAAGAAGCCCAUUAAGUCAAAAUCAUUUAAUCCAAUGAUUCCUUAUCUGAAAUGUAGAUUGAGAGCAUUUUCUUAAAUCGUUACCCUGUACAUACCUAUACAUUUGGUAAAAUAGACAAAGUUGAAAUAAUAAUUUCAUUUGGCAUUCAGCAUGUGAAUAUGAUUAUCGUUUGAUUGUGUCUGUAUAUUUGUCGGUGAUGUGCUCAGGUGCUCCCACUACUGAUUAAUGUGUGUGCUAAUAUCCUAACAAAAACACAUCUGAUAUUAAUGGAAAACAUUCUUGUCUGAAAGAAUAAAAAUCUAAUAAAAUUGAUUUCAAAAUAAAAAAUAAAGUACUUGGAGAUAUGUCUUGUUUCUAACUACAUGUUGCAUGCCAUGUUGGUGAUUUGCUAAUGUGUUCUUUUCUGUUCUACCCAAAUCUCUCUGGAAAAUCUAAUGAACAAAUACAAAUUCUUGGGCUAAAGGUUGUAUACAUUGAAUUGAAAUAUACGAGAAUUGUAUUAAAAAUGCUUGUAAAUCUGUCUUGAGUUUUACCCUAUGUAAAAAUAUGUCUUGGUUUUGUGAUUGUAUACAAGAUGUAUCUUGAUAACUUAUGCAAAUUGUGCUGUAUAAAGGCUGUUGCCUCAGCCUUACCAAUAAAUAUUGAAAAUGUCA
rnacentral:lncRNA from 1 species